rnacentral:rRNA from 1 species
UACAGAGACUGCGAGCGUUAUUCGGAUUCACUGGGCGUAAAGGGUGCGCAGGCGGCCAAGUGUGUGAGGCGUGAAAGCCCGGGGCUUAACCCCGGAAUUGCACCUCAAACUACAUGGCUAGAGCAUUGGAGAGGGUAGCAGAAUUCACGGUGUAGCAGUGAAAUGCGUAGAUAUCGUGAGGAAUACCAGAGGCGAAGGCGGCUACCUGGACAAUUGCUGACGCUCAGGCACGAAAGCGUGGGGAGCAAAAGGA